rnacentral:rRNA from 1 species
AACGAACGCUGGCGGCAGGCUUAACACAUGCAAGUCGAGCGAGGGCUUCGGCCCUAGCGGCGGACGGGUGAGUAACGCGUGGGAACGUGCUCUUUCCUCCGGAAUAGCCCUGGGAAACUGGGAGUAAUGCCGGAUACGCCGAGCCAUAGCGAUAUGGUUUGGGAAAGAUUUAUCGGGUAAGGAUCGGCCCGCGUCGGAUUAGGUAGUUGGUGGGGUAACGGCCUACCAAGCCGACGAUCCGUAGCUGGUUUGAGAGGAUGAUCAGCCACACUGGGACUGAGACACGGCCCAGACUCCUACGGGUGGCA